rnacentral:rRNA from 1 species
GGGGGAGAAAGGGAAUUUCUUUGUUGUAGGGGGGAAAAUGGGUGGAGAAUUGGGAAGAGCCCCCAGUGGCGAAGGCGGUUUUUUUGGACUGUAACUGACGCUGAGGCUCGAAAGCGGGGGGAGCAAACAGGAUUAGAUACCCCUGGUAGUCCACGCCUAAAACGAAGAAUACUAGGUGUAGGGGUUGUCAUGACCUCUGUGCCGCCGCUAACGCAUUAAAGUAUUCCGCCUGGGGAGUACGGUCGCAAGAUUAAAACUCAAAGGAAUUGACGGGGGCCCGCACAAGCAGCGGAGCAUGUGGUUUAAUUCGAAGCAACGCGAAGAACCUUACCUAGACUUGACAUCUCCUGCAUUACUCUUAAUCGAGGAAGUCUCUUCGGAGACAGGAUGACAGGUGGUGCAUGGUUGUCGUCAGCUCGUGUCGUGAGAUGUUGGGUUAAGUCCCGCAACGAGCGCAACCCUUAUUGUUAGUUGCCAUCAUUAAGUUGGGCACUCUAGCGAGACUGCCUGGGUUAACCAGGAGGAAGGUGGGGAUGACGUCAAAUCAUCAUGCCCCUUAUGUCUAGGGCUACACACGUGCUACAAUGGUCGGUACAAUAAGACGCAAGCCCGCGAGGGGGAGCAAAACUGGAAAACCGAUCUCAGUUCGGAUUGUAGGCUGAAACUCGCCUACAUGAAGCUGGAGUUGCUAGUAAUCGCGAAUCAGCAUGUCGCGGUGAAUACGUUCCCGGGCCUUGUACACACCGCCCGUCA